AGAGAGCAGGUGUGCAGACACAGACGCACUUAGCUGACUCUACCUGUGAUUGUGGUUUGUGCUGUAUAUUUUUGCAGGUCUCUGAGCAUCUGAUUUUGGGGCAGUCACCAGAUUGUCAAGAAGUUCCAAAAGUUCCAGAAAGGCCACCCGAAAAAGCCCAGGCUCUUUCAUCAAGUGAGGAGGAAGCUGACCCAUGUGAUGAGGAUGAAUUGUCACCUUCUCCUCCCCUUGAAUUUGGGCUGCACGCAAUUCCCACAUCAAUGCUCGCUCGUCUUUGACCAGCAGCCGAGCACCUACUCGACUGAUCAGGCGAAGGUGGCGUUCAUGAUGAGCCUGCUGACAGAUGCUCUCGCCAUCAGCAAGGCUAAAGCCACCACUCAUUCAUCUUUUGUUUUUGAGAGAAAUGAGGAAAGUUUUUGAUCACCCCAUUAGGGACAGGAAGGCAGGAAGGAGACUGUUGGAUCUGAAGCAGAAAGGAUGCUCUGUGGCUGCUUUUUCUAUUGAGUUCCAGGUACUGGCUGUAUGACGAGGUGGCAUUACAGGGCAUCUUCUGUAAAGCACUCCAUGCCCGCGUAAAGGACGAGCUAGCGGUACGGGAUGACACGAACACAUUAGAUUGCUCAAUAGACCAGGCCAACCAACUGUGGGAGCACGACCGACAGCAUGCGGAGGAGGAGAGAUCCAGCGGAGCCACGCUCACUACACGAAGCAGAAGACCGCCGAUACCACGUGAGCAGGCAGACGACAGCACCCUCUCCACCGAGGUACCCAUGCAGCAGGGGGGUUGCCCAGCCAGACCAGACGUCGUGAAGAGGAGAGAUCCAGUACCUACCUUCAAACUUCCUCCGGGGAUCAGUCCACCUCCCCGACCUGAACAUGUUCAUCACAUGCGGCGGGUGCUUCAUCGGUUUUUGGAGAACCGCCCUUUCAUCAAAGCUGAGAAAU